UCGCGGCUUAUCACCGGCAGUCUCCUUAGAGUGCUCAACUAAAUGGUAGCAACUAAGGACGGGGGUUGCGCUCGUUGCGGGACUUAACCCAACAUCUCACGACACGGGCUGACGACAGCCAUGCAGCACCUGUGCAGGAUCUCCGAAGAGGGGCUCUCGUUUCUGAUAGCUUGCUCCUGCAUGUCAAGCCUAGGUAAGGUUCUUCGCGUUGCGUCGAAUUAAACCACAUGCUCCGCUGCUUGUGCGGGCCCCCGUCAAUUCCUUUGAGUUUUAGCCUUGCGGCCGUACUCCCCAGGCGGGGUGCUUAAUGCGUUAGCUCCGGCACGGGAGGAGUCGACACCUCCCACACCUAGUGCCCAUCGUUUACGGCGUGGACUAC
rnacentral:misc_RNA from 1 species